GUCACUGUCUGUAAUAGUAUUGUGCGGCAAUCAAUCUGACACGUGAAGUUUCCAUCGGACGGCGCAGUGGAUGGUGGCUUUGGAUCCGUCACUAUCUGCAAUAGUAUUGUGUGGCAAUCAAUCUGACGCGUCAAGUUUCCAUCGGACGGCGCACGUGGAUGGAAACCCGUUCCCAGUGCGAACCAACCGUCCUGUGUCCCGACGACGAAUCGCGUCUCCCCUGCGCUGUUCGACGAAGCAAUGGCGACCACGGCGCCGCUUCUCUCGCCCCCAGUGCGCUCGCCCAGCCUAUCUCCCGCCCUCGCCUCUCGCCUUUCACCUUCGCCACGCCAGUGAGGCUGCGGCCGCGGCUGCUCCUUCGCCGCGCGCCGGACCCGUGUACCGCCAAGUUCGACGCCCCCGCGGAGGCCGAGGAGACAGAAGCGGCGGCGGCGGUAGACGGCCCGGCAGCGCAGCAGGCGGAGGAGGACGACAGGCAGAGCUGCUGAUCCCUCAGCUGGAAUUCCUCAACGAGGAAGGAGCACAGGAUGAGCUCUGGGCAUUGUCGAGGAUUUUCCUGGAUACGCUUGUACAAGAGACAGGCCAGGUUUGGAUACCAGAAAGCUAUUGCAAUUUUCCCAGAUGCUGUGCAGCUGCCCUUCUGAAGUAUCAGUGGAAAGAUGCACAGUUCAAGUGCUUUAGGUACUGCUUCACUUUCUUUAGUUCACUCAGGGAGUGAUGAUUUCAUAGCGAAUUGAUGUAACAUGUUAUAUCCCAUGAAUUCCUGAAUUAUUGUGGCAUGCUAAAGAGGGUAUUGGGCUAUGCAUGUAUAUAUGCAAGAUUUGAAUGCGUUUGCACCAGCAGAUUAGUAUACAUACCUACACGUAUAGCCAUCACAUGAAAGAGCUCAUACAGAUUUUCAUGCCUAAAAAAAUACAUUCAUAUUCGCAUCAAUUUAAGAUUGAUAUUGAUCAGCAACCAACCUUAUAUUUCUAUUUUAUUAUAAUUUGUGUAUAUAUCCUGAAGUAGUGUCUAAUUUUAAUUUAAUGAAGAUAAGACCUCUUGUAUAUGGAACCCACGCCUUGUUAGUGGAGAUGUUGGAGUAGGCUUUAAUGUUCGGAAUCUAUGCAGAAAUUUCUUAAGGUAAGUGAGUGGAAACAUCUUUACACUGUUGCCUGUCAAUGUGCAACUAUUUCUGCUUCACAAAACACAAAUAAGUAUUGCUUAUACAGACAAGAGGAUAGACAGAGACACUUCAUUUUGUGAAGUAUGCUGCUAUGUUUUAAACCAUAGUAGUUGUACCUGUAAACCAUUUGGUUGUUUCGGCCAGUCUUUUUUCUAAAUAAUACUCAAUCGGAAACCAUGGCUUUCAAUAUGAAGUUGGGCUAGUCCCCUUGUUUCUAAAAAUGCCCAAUGAAUCCAGUAAGCGAUUUUAUGUUAGGAAGACCCCAAAAAAACAUGGCAUUGAGCAUCCUAUCUUAACUCUUAUCUAUUCAAUGCGUAUAUUUUUUGUUGUUGACUGCAGUCUCAUUGAAUUAGGGCAUAUGUUUUCUUCUUAUAUGUUGGUUGGUCCCUUUCUUUUGCUAACAUCCAUCACCCUCUUUGCAAUACUUUUACCACUGUUUACUCAACGAAGCCAUUGCCAACUGGUGCAAUCUUUAGAUGCUAUCCUGGAGGAUAUUUGGAGGUGCAGAUGAGCAAUCCGAAGAGGCGCCAUCGUUGAUGAAUAAUGUCAUGGGCGUGGUUAGUUCUGUGAGCCGGUUUAUGAGGGUCAUCUCCAAGUGAAAAUCACAGCAACUAUUCUUCACUUUGGAUGCCAUCGAUAAUCAUCUUGAUGGCUUAUUCUUUUGUUAUACAAGAAGAUAGUGUUGGUGCAUCAGUGCUGCCAUGUUGCUUCCCUGAGCAACUGUGUACAGCUAAAACAUACCGUAGAUUCCUCAAAUCUUCCGAGGAUCCUACACCAUGCGGUUCUUAUUUGCAUAAGCAUAACUGUAUAAAUUUUU